rnacentral:rRNA from 1 species
CGGGGAGCACCACAACAGGUGGAGCCUGCGGUUUAAUCGGACUCAACGCCGGGAAACUCACCAGAUAAGACAGCUGAAUGAUAGUCGGGCUGAAGACUCUACUUGACUAGCUGAGAGGAGGUGCAUGGCCGUCGUCAGUUCGUACUGUGAAGCAUCCUGUUAAGUCAAGCAACGAGCGAGACCCACGCCAACAGUUGCCAGCUCGUCCUCCGGGAUGGUGGGGACACUGUUGGGACCGCCUCUGCUAAAGAGGAGGAAGGAAUGGGCAACGGUAGGUCAGCAUGCCCCGAAUUAUCUGGGCUACACGCGGGCUACAAUGGGUGGGACAAUGGGUAUCGACACCGAAAGGUGAAGGCAAUCUCCUAAACCCAUCCAUAGUUCGGAUUGUGGGCUGCAACUCGCCCACAUGAAGCUGGAAUCUGUAGUAAUCGCGUUUCAAAAUAGCGCGGUGAAUAUGUCCCUGCUCCUU